rnacentral:rRNA from 1 species
GAAGGAAUACCGAUUGCGAAGGCGAUCUACUGGAACAUUAUUGACGCUGAGAUGCGAAAGCGUGGGGAGCAAACAGGAUUAGAUACCCUGGUAGUCCACGCCCUAAACGAUGUACACUAGUUGUUGCGAUGCUAGACAUUGCAGUAAUGCAGUUAACACAUUAAGUGUACCGCCUGGGGAGUACGGUCGCAAGAUUAAAACUCAAAGGAAUAGACGGGGACCCGCACAAGCGGUGGAGCAUGUGGUUUAAUUCGACGAUACGCGAAGAACCUUACCUGGCCUUGACAUUGAUAGAAUCUUUCAGAGAUGAGAGAGUGCUAGUUUACUAGAGCUUGAAAACAGGUGCUGCACGGCUGUCGUCAGCUCGUGUCGUGAGAUGUUGGGUUAAGUCCCGCAACGAGCGCAACCCUCGUGAUUAGUUACCAGCACUUCGGGUGGGGACUCUAAUCAGACUGCCUUCGCAAGGAGGAGGAAGGUGAGGACGACGUCAAGUCAUCAUGGCCCUUACGGCCAGGGCUACACACGUGCUACAAUGGGGCAUACAAAGAGCAGCGAUACGGUGACGUGGAGCAAAUCUCAUAAAAUGCCUCCCAGUUCGGAUUGUUCUCUGCAACUCGAGGACAUGAAGUUGGAAUCGCUAGUAAUCGUAGAUCAGCAAUGCUACGGUGAAUACGUUCCCGGGCCUUGUACACUCCGCCCA